rnacentral:lncRNA from 1 species
GACAUCUGUGACAUUUACGUGGGCUUUAGCAUUGUUGCUCAACAACCCAAAAGCGUUAGAAACUGCCCAAGAUGAAAUUGAUGAGUAUGUUGGAAGGGACAGAUUGGUGGAGGAGUCAGACCUAAAGAACUUAGUCUACCUCAAUGCCAUCAUCAAAGAAACAUUACGAUUAUACCCAGCUGGACCUCUCUCUGUUCCUCACGAGUCACUGGAGGACUGCAUUGUGGGUGGCUACAGCAUUCCAAAAGGAACUCGUCUUCUGGUAAAUCUUUGGAAGUUGCAACGUGACCCAAGUAUCUGGUCAGAUCCCGAGGAAUUCAAGCCUGAGAGAUUCUUGACAAGUCACAAGGAUAUCGAUGUCAAGGGAAACCAUUAUGAAUUGCUUCCUUUUGGUAGUGGUAGAAGGAUGUGCCCUGGUGUUUUAUUUGCUCUUCAGGUUUUGGGUUUAACGCUAGCUCGUUUGCUACAACAAUUUGUGCUUAAAAAACCAUCAGACGAACCUGUUGAUAUGACUGAAAGCAUGGGGGCGACUAAUGGCAAAGCAGCACCACUUGAUGUUCUUUUGGGCCCUCGUUUACCCACUGAUAUGUAUAAAGUCGGUUAGUGAUAUAUCAACUUCAGAUCGCAUACAAAUCCCAUUCCAUCAAUCAUUCUCCAUAAAGCAAUCAAUUAUGAUGGGGGCAAGCAAAAUAACCCAAUUAUGACAGCCACUGUGGAACAUAAAUGAUCGGUUUUUGAGUACUCCUAUUAUUUAUAAAGUAAUUAAUAAAAGCUUGAUAAUUAUUAUGUAAUGAAGUCAUGUGGCUGCAUUCUACUCAUCUCGUUUAUAUGUGUUGUGUACCGAUCACAUUCCAUAUGAUAAUGUUUUCAUUGUCACAAUUAAGUUUAUAUAUGUGUUGUGUACCGAUCAUUUUCAUAUGAUAGAUUUUCAUAUGAUAGUGUUACGAAAAGUAUUUUUCAAUUAGAUUAAAAGAAUGGAUGAUUAGAGCAUCGUGGGGAGUUUAAUCGUGGGGAGUUUAAUGGAAGAGUUGAAUCACUACAAGAAUAAACACCUCUAGGGAUGAGUUCUAUAGUGACGACUUAAGUCGUCACAAUAGGCUUUCUAUAGGGACAACAUAUCGUCACUAUAGAGUUGACCAUUUUUUAUUGACUCUUUUUGAUACAGGGACGUAUUUUUGUCUCAACAUGUUAAGCUGGAAAAAUAAGGGAUUGGUGUGUUCUUUAAACACCUAUAGAGACCACAAAUCGCUCUAAUAAAUAACAAAAAUUAAAAGUAACAUAUUUUUUUAAUCGUUUCACGGAAAUAAAGUGUUUUGAGGAAAAUAUAGAGACGACUCGUCCCCAUAGCAUUCUAUGCCCAAAAAAAAAUAUUUUUAAUCUAUUUGGUUGGAAAAGUGAAAACGAUGUCGUUUGUUUGUGGGUAUAGGGACGAUAGAUCAUCCCCAUACGGUUAUGAUCUUAGGAUCCUUUUCCGUUUGGGCUUCUCCGGUCUCCGGUCUCGGAUCUUCUCUGGGUGCUUGGGUGCUCCGUGCUCAUCGAAUAGCUUUUCUCUGGAUCCAUCUUCCCCCUUCACUAACCCAAACGCCUCCAUCUCUAUUUCUCAUUCAAGGCUUAGAACUCAAGCAAAUCUCUAUCUUUUUGCACAUGUUCGUUGAAGCUCAUGCGCAUCUCAAUAUUUCUAUGUUUUUUUUUCCUUCUUAUCCAUCCCUAACUUGUGAUUUUCUAUGAUUUCACGGUUGCACUCUUAGUUGCUGUCUCAGGAUGCGAUUUGCUCCCACCAUUUCUGGUUCCCAGCUUAUUAAAAGGUAUUUUGUUUUCAGCAUUGAUAAUCACAGUUGCUUUUUCAUGUACAAUAUUCACAGAUUUACUUCAAUUGUUGAAAUUUUCUCAUAUCUAGUUGAGAAUUUCUUAUGUUUGCUUAAGAAAAUCCAUUAUUUUCAUCCAAUUUUGGGGUUUUAAGCAGCAUGAUUACAAUUUUGAGUUCAUUAGAAACUUGGAUUUUCUGUGUUAUAAGGAGAAGAAGGAACAAAUGAAUUGACAAUGUUAAAUGUCAAUGAUACAAUUAUACCCUUCUGUUGAAACUCCUCAGGUAGCUUCAAAACCAUAUCUUCAUUGCAAUUAUUUGGAGAUAAUCCAUCAUUAAACAUACAGAAAACAAACACUUUAGCAUAUUCAAUAUCUUUAAUCUUGCAAAAUCCAUGAACUAAUGCCUUGUAAAUAAACAAAUCAGGCUUUAAUCCUGCAUACAACCUUGCAAUAAGCAUUAAUCAACGUGUUACAAGUGAUUUUAUCAUGAACAACCUUUUUCUCAGUCAUUUCAUUCAACAUUUUGUUUGCAUCCUUUAUUCUUCCAUCUUCACAUAAUUUAGUUUCUUCCAUACCAUGUAUCAUAUCUAAACAUGAUUCAGAAUUUUCAUAAUUAUUGCUUAUGUGUCUUCUAAUGUAGCUUGUGGUGAGCAAUUGCUGACACCAUCAACUUCUUUACCUGACUCCACAUUGUUGUCACUUUGGUCAACUUUGCAGACUUCUUCUAUAUCAAUUUCUAUAUGAUUUGCACCAUAGAAGCUAUGGAUUUCUCACUUUAUUCGGCAUCAUCAUAAUCACUCGAUGAGUUCCCAGUUAUAUCCACAUCACAAACAUCAUAAAACUUCUUUUGUGUCUUCUUCCAUGUGGCUUUCUGUGUCACUUUCCUCUUUCACUUCUUUUUCUUCCUCAACCACUUUCUCACUUGCUUCAUCAUCACUAUUUGAUUCAUGAAUCUCUACAAUUAGUACUUCCUCAGUGUUCAAGAACUUCCUGCUUUGUAUUUUCCAAUAACCCCAAUGCUUCACUGAAACUCUUCUCAUAACCAUUUUCAUCAUAAUCAUGGGAUGUUUUCUUUUCAUUUUCCACCUUCUGAUACAAAGCUAAGUUGUUGGUUUCAUCAGCAAGAUUAUUAGAAUUACUUGAUCCCACCUCAUCCUUAUUCUCCUUUGACUCUAUGUGCAUGUCAUCUUUGACUGUCUCCUUAUUUUCACAAGUGUCAAGUACAAAAUAAACAUUUGGUCCUUGUCUAUCUUUCUUCAAAGAUUUAUUUACAUCAUUUUCAAUCACCUCAGAAGACCUUGUUGGAUGUUCUACAAAUUUUGUUUCACCUACAAUUUCUUUAGCAUCACAAACAAUUUUAUCAUCUUCCAAUUCAUGAGAAAAUCUUAUUGGUAUCUCACAGUUCUUAUGAUUCUUUCCCACAUUCAAAGAAACUUCUAAAGCACUUACAUUUGCCAUUCUAGCUUUAAAGAUUUCUUUAAUCCAAUGUUCAUUUUCUUUUUACUCUUCACUUGUGCUUAUCCAUAAUGAUUAACCUUUUUGUUAUUCUCUAUUGAGUUGCCAAUUUUUCCAUGGAAUAUCCCCCUCAGGUCUGUGUGUAGCUUUGUAAUCCUGUUUGUAUUACGUGCACAUCCAUUAACAUAUGAAACAUCUAUUCGAUGCCCACUAAAAAUAAGGGAAGGUAGACACUUGCGAUGUCAACGGGGGCAAACGGGACGGGGAUUCCAUCCCCCGCCCCCGCCCCCAAAAUUUUCCCGUUCCCCCGCCCCCGAAAUCUCCAUCCUUUCCACCCCCGCCCCCGCCCCCGANNNNNNNNNNNNNNNNNNNNNNNNNNNNNNNNNNNNNNNNNNNNNNNNNNNNNNNNNNNNNNNNNNNNNNNNNNNNNNNNNNNNNNNNNNNNNNNNNNNNNNNNNNNNNNNNNNNNNNNNNNNNNNNNNNNNNNNNNNNNNNNNNNNNNNNNNNNNNNNNNNNNNNNNNNNNNNNNNNNNNNNNNNNNNNNNNNNNNNNNNNNNNNNNNNNNNNNNNNNNNNNNNNNNNNNNNNNNNNNNNNNNNNNNNNNNNNNNNNNNNUGCCUCCGUCCCCUAUUUUUUUCAACAAAUGCUCUCAUACGAGACGGGGGCCCUACGGGAUCGGGGUCCCACGGGACUUUUUGACACCCCUAGUAGACACAUAUACAAUUGAAAUCAGCUUACGAUUACAUCUUUAGUCCCUGUGCUAUAGCAAUAUUUUCAGAUUUGAUCCAAAGAGGAUUAUUUUUUUCCUUUUUCGGGAAUGAUUUGGGUGAAACAGGGACCAAAGGAAAAUAAAAAAGGUUCCUUGUUGUAGCAGAUCUAAAAAUAUCAUUAUAGUCCAGGGACCAAAAAGGAAAAAAGAUUCGUUGUUGAACCAGAUCUAAAAUAUCACUGGAGGACAGGGACAAAAAUGUAAUUUACUUGAUAAUCUAAUCAAUGGUUGAAAUUUGAAAAUACUGGACAACUUAGACGAACUUACUGCAACAUGAAAGCUAUUUAUUUCUUCUUUGUUCAUAAUAUCACCAGAACUUCAUUUAAAUCUUUUUGGUGUUUGGUUUGGUUGAAAUCUGAAAUAAUUGAUAUUUUGUCACAUGUUUUGUUGACAGAAUUGGAAUGGAAUUCAGUUCCAAACCUUUGUAUAUUUCUGUUUUUAAAUGAAUAUAAAUGAUAAAUGGCAAAACUACUCGUUUUUGUAAAACACAAAAUGGAAUUCAAGUUUUGAAUAUUAUAAACAAUGAUAAUUACCCUUUGAAAAAAUAUGUAUUCUUAACAAGGAGAAUUCCUUGGGACUCAUAAUGAAAUGUUUGAAUCAAAAAGGAUUUUGUGAAUUCCAACUGAAUUCAAAAUUCAUAGUCUUUUACAAACAAUGAAAUGGAAUUCCAAAUCCCAUGGAGUCCAACAAACCAAACACCAAAAAGAUUUAAUUGGGUUAUUUUUGUUGGUUGUUUCUGUUUUUGUAGAUUCUUGGACCAGGGUUGAUUUCUAGGAUAGAGUUUACAGAUAACAAGUCACCAGAAUGGGGUAACAUUCCAAUCAUUAAACUUAAAGAAAAAUCCAAAUUUAAAGAUAUAUAGAAACUGAAUUAUGAAUAGUAAAGAUUCAUUUGGUUUCUGAUUAUCUUUCUUCAAAGAUUCAGUUACAUCCUUUUUAAUCUCUGAUACUCUGUAUCGCAUUCCAUUCAGACUCCUGUUCUAUGUCUAUUUUGAUUAGAGAAAAUGAGACCUGAUUAAAAUCAAUAUUGCUAAAUAUGACAAUAUAUGUUAUAUUGUUGUUAGGAAACUUCAUAUUGUCUACUCGCAAAUUGAUCAUGAAAGUUCAUUGAUUAAAAAAGCUCAAUUCCAAAAGUUGAAAAUUCAAGAACAUAUAGAAAUACCGAGGAAUAAAAUAAAGAAAUCUAUUAGAUUUUGCCUGUUAUUCGUAUGGAUUGAAUUUGUUAUUAGCAUUGGAUUAUGAACUUAAGUUACGAUCUUUUUUCUUGGCGCAAUUAGAUUGAAAUAAGCCGACAAUUGAAGACCAGGUCGUCUUGUACUGAAAUUUUUUUUUAAAAAGUUCACAAAAUCUCGUUAAUUUGCCAAUCUACUACUAUUAAUCUAAAAUGGAUUGCGUAUUUUUUAUUUAAGAAUAUUAUAUUUGCCUUAUCAUAUUAGUUAAAUGAAAUAUUUGAUUUAUUUUAAUAAAAUGCUAUCAUUCUAUAUGAAGCACCGACAGUUGGCAUUAGUGUGCUAUGACAGGAUUAAUAUUCAAUUAUAAAUAAUUAAAACUAUUAAAUUUAUUUUUAAUGGUGACGUUUUUUAAAUAAAUAUUGAUCAUAUUAGUUAAUGUUAUUUUUUAUUUUUAUUUUUCAUAGAAGCAUCCAAAGUGUUACCCUCAAGGGUAAAUAUGUCUAACAAAUUGAUGUAGACGUAGAUAUAAAUCCAUAGGAUCCACUUUAUUGUUAAAGGUUGACAUGAUUGAUCUUCUAAGGAUCACCAUAAGAAUUUACUGCUAUUAUCUAUCGGCAAAUACAACCAUGCAUUCAAUUUGCUCAAUGGAGUUCUACCUCUUAGUAUCACUAUUGUUGCAACAAUCUUUGUCUCUAUUCUUGUACACUGUUUGCUACUCCCUAUCCUCCACAGAAAGAAGGAAAACACAGUGAAGAACCAAAAGCCACCACAAGCAAAAGGGGCAUGGCAGAAAAACAUGGCGCUAUCUGCACCAUCAAGCCUGGUGUUCAUCAAGCUUUGGUGGUGAGUGAUGCAACGAUUGCUAAGGACUGCUUUACUACCAAUGACAAGGCCUUCGCAAGUCGACCGAAAACAGAGGCAUCAAAAAUCAUGGCCUAUAAUAAUGCCGUGUUUGGCCUGGCUCCAUAUGGGGACUAUUGGCGAAAAAUGCGCAAGAUGGUCGUGUUGGAGGGUCUUUCUCAACAAAGAGUUGAAAUGAUUGGACAUAUUCGAGCUUCAGAAGUUAGAGCAUCCGUUAAAGAGUUAUAUGAUGGGUGGGUAAUGAAUAAACUUACUGAAAGUUCAGAGUCACAGUCACAGAUGGUAAAGGUGGAGUCCUGGAGAUGAGUCAAUGGUUUGGGAAAUUUGUUUUAAAUAUUAUGGUUAGGAUUAUUACAGGAAAGUGGUUUUCGCCAAAUCAUGAAGAAGGGGUUCAAUUUCAGGCUGUGGUAAGGAAGUUCUUUGAGUUAAUGGGGGCAUUUGUGCUUGCAGAUUUUAUACCUUAUCUCAACUAUUUGGACGUGGGUGGAUACAAAAAAGUGAUGAAGAAUACUUGGAAGGAUUUGGACAAUAUCUUUGACCGAUGGUUAAAGGAGCACAAACAGGAGAUUAAGUCUAUACAACAACAUGAAGCGAACCAAGACUUUAUGCAUGUGCUAAUUUCCAUUCUUCGAGGUGCUUCUGAAGAUCAAUUCCCGGGUUUUGACCAUGAUACAAUUAUCAAAGCGACAAGUCUAGUAAACUCAAACUUUUUAUCUCAAUGUUUCGUGAUUACAUUAAAUAUUUAUUCAGCCUUUUAACUAUAGAACCUAAUCCACGAGUGUUUAAUUUGUGUAAACUCCUGUUCACAGCAAAUCCUAUUAGCAGCCGUUGACACGACAUCUGUGACAUUAACCUGGGCUUUAUCAUUGUUGCUCAACCACCCAAAAACAUUAAAAAUUGCGCAAGAUGAAAUUGAUGAGCAUGUUGGAAGGGACGGAUUGGUGGAGGAGUCAGACCUAAAGAACUUAUCUACCUCAAUGCCAUCAUCAAAGAAACAUUACGAUUAUACCCAGCUUGACCUCUCGCUGUUCCUCACGAGUCACUGGACGACUGCACUGUGGGUGGCUAUAACAUUCCAAAAGGAACUCGUCUUUUGGUAAAUCUUUGGAAGUUGCAACG